rnacentral:lncRNA from 12 species
CAGGCGGAAAUGUGGUUGGAUGAACAGGGGUCACAAGGCGGUGGCUGAGGCCACGGGCAGGAAGACAUAGUCGUUUGGGCUAAGGUCUUCUCUCCCGGGCACCCCCCCUACCUGUCCAGGCGGGGAGUCCCACAUUCACUGAGCUCCUCUUAGAUUCUGGGGGCAGAACUGGGGGGAUCAGAGCCAGGCUGGGAUGCUGCCCCAGGACCCUGCCUUUAGGGACUGUAGGGGGCAGGGGGAGAGGAACACACAAAAGCCCAGGAUUCUGGGAGUGAGGUACAGGAGGCUGCCUUGACUAAGUAAGGCUUCCUGGAGGAGGGUGAAGGGUGUGGGGCUGGGUCGGGAUUCAGGAAGACAUCAGUUUGAAUUAUGACUUGGCUACUUCCUAGCUACUUUGACCUUGGGGAAGCAGUUCAUUCCACACACAUUCUUUUGAGGGUCCACUCGAGCAUGCCAAUCACAGGCUAAGCGUUGAGACUACGAAGGUGAAUCCGAUACAGUUCCUGUCCUCAGAGCUCAGCAACUGGGCCAGGACAGCAUGAUCUGUGCCGUCCUGGAGGGUCUCAGCCCCUCCUUCAAGCCCCCAGCAGAUGACACACGCAUCCACGUUGUCUUGCAAAACAACAGCCCGGUGUCUGGUGGGACCUGGGAAAGGAAGAGUCCUGGAGGUAGAUGAAACUGUGUUACGUUUGAUUACUUAGACGAAGCCAAAUGAUUGCCAAGUCACGUGUGAGGCAAGAAACACGGGUGCGUGGCAAAGCCUACAGGAGUAUCUGAAGACUGGAAAGAAAUUCGGGACACGAUAGCGGACAAUGGUGUGAGAAGUGGUGCGUCACUACACUCCUGAUGGCCCAGAGGGUGAUGCCGGGUAGGAAAACACUGAGGAUUCUGAAUCAAAAAGAAAUUUAGGGAAGUUGGACUCUGAAUGUGAAGACAUUUGGGGACUAUUUUAGCCAACUUGUUUUACCUAUCAUUUCCUUUCUGGUACAGGCAUAAGAGUGAUUUUGACUUCGAAAAAAAAAAGGGAUAUUGAAAUAAAUCUGAGAAAAUUCUUUCA